UCUUAGAUGGCAUCUUUUCAUUGAGCGCAACCCUCGCCUUUAGUUGCCAGCAUUCAGUUGGGCACUUAAGGGGACUCCGGUGAUAAGCCGAGAGGAAGGUGGGGAUGACGUCAAGUCCUCAUGGCCCUUACGGGCUGGGUACACACGUGUACAAUGGUGGUGACAGUGGGCAGCGAGCACGCGAGUGUGAGCUAAUCUCCAAAAGCCAUCUCAGUUCGGAUUGCACUCUGCAACUCGAGUGCAUGAAGUUGGAAUCGCUAGUAAUCGCGGAUCCCAGCAGCCGGGGUAAUACGUUCCCGGGCCUUGUACACACCGCCCGUCACACCAUGGGAGUUGGUUUUACCCGAAGGCGCUGUGCUAACCGCAAGGAGGAAGGCGACCACGGUAGGGUCAGCG
rnacentral:rRNA from 1 species